GUGAAGAUCCAGCAGCUAGCCCGGGACUCCAACACCAACGAUGAGAGGGAAAACGCUGCACUGCUACUGCAGAACACGGUCAACCUCAUCAACCAGACCGUAGGAGAUGCUAUCUCUGACAUGCUACUGAUUGAGGCAGUGUUAACCAUCAGAGGGAAGACCGUACUACAAUAGGAUGCCAUCUACACAGAUCUGCCCAACAGACAGCUCAAGUCAAGGUGGCAGACCGGCGUGUGAUUGACACUACAGAUGCAGAGAGGAGAACAGUGAGUCCAGCAGGUCUGCAGGAGGCCAUAGACAGCCUGGUGAAUAAGCACAGACAGGCACGCUCCUUUGUCCGCCCCUCAGGUACUGAGGAUGUUGUCCGAGUGUACGCCGAGGCAGACACACAGGAGAGUGCUGAUGCCCUGGCACAUGAAGUUAGCCUGGCAGUGUACCUGUCGCAGGAGGAGUGGGAGAGGAGGCCAAACCUUUAUAAACAGGCAUUAUGCAAUGUCUGUCGAACACAUUUUUUAAUCGUGCAUCUAAUGACAACUUCCUCAACCCAUGAUUCUACGUCAGAUUUGUAGUCUUCAUCAGGUGCCAAAUCAUUUUAUAAUGUGCACUGCAUUUAAUACUGUGUUAUCACUUUUCAAUGAGUCUGAACAAUUUGAUUUGUCAAUGUGAAUGAAAGGGAAUCACUGUAUUGGACAAUGAAGGGGAAAUAUGCUAAAUAAGGUUAGACUUGUAAUCCUCUUCUUUUUUUACCCAACCUUAAUCCUCUGUCAAAGUAGUGGUAAUUAUGUACAUGUUUACAUUAGCAGUUAUUGUAGAUCAAUUUUGUAUUACUGUUUUAUAGUGGAGUAAUUGCACUGCUUUGAACGGACCUCAACUACAAAGACUGUGCUGCUUACGACUGUCGGCGUUACUCUGGACCCUGAUCUCUCUUUUGAAGAACAUAUCAAGACUGUUUCAAGGACAGCUUUUUCCAUCUACGUAACAUUGCAAAAAUCAGAAACUUUCUGUCCAAA